GAUGAACGCUGACAGCAUGCUUAACACAUGCAAGUCAACUUGAACUUCGGUUUGGGUGGCGGACGGGUGAGUAACGCGUAAAGAACUUGCCUCACAGAUAGGGACAACAUUUGGAAACGAAUGCUAAUACCUGAUAUUAUGAUUAUAUGGCAUCGUAUAAUUAUGAAAGCUAUAUGCGCUGUGAGAGAGCUUUGCGUCCCAUUAGCUAGUUGGAGAGGUAACGGCUCACCAAGGCGAUGAUGGGUAGCCGGCCUGAGGGGGUGUUCGGCCACACGGGGAGUGGGACACGGCCCUUAGGCGUGCGGGAGGCAGCAGUGGGGAAUAUUUGACAAUGGACCAAGAAUCUGAUGCAGCAAUUCUGUGUGCAGGAUGAAGUUUUUCGGGAUGUAGAGGGCUUUCAGUUGCGAAGAAAAAAAUGACGGUACCAACAGAAGAAGUGACGGCUAAAUACGUG
rnacentral:rRNA from 1 species